rnacentral:rRNA from 1 species
AGAGUUUGAUCAUGGCUCAGAACGAACGCUGGCGGCAUGCCUAACACAUGCAAGUCGAACGCUCUCGGGGCUUCGGUUCCGGGGGAGUGGCGCACGGGUGAGUAGCGCGUGGGAACCUGCCUUCUUGUGGGGGAUAACCGAGGGAAACUUCGGCUAAUACCGCAUGCGCCCGGGCAACCGGGGAAAGAUUUAUCGCAGGAAGAGGGGCCCGCGUCGGAUUAGCUUGUUGGUGGGGUAACGGCCUACCAAGGCUCCGAUCCGUAGCUGGUCUGAGAGGAUGAUCAGCCACACUGGGACUGAGACACGGCCCAGACUCCUACGGGAGGCAGCAGUGGGGAAUAUUGGACAAUGGGCGCAAGCCUGAUCCAGCAAUGCCGCGUGAGUGAUGAAGGCCUUAGGGUUGUAAAGCUCUUUCGCCCGCGACGAUGAUGACGGUAGCGGGAGAAGAAGCCCCGGCUAACUUCGUGCCAGCAGCCGCGGUAAUAC